AACCGGUCCUUCGGGACCGGGGAAAGCGGCGAACGGGUGAGUAACACGUGGGUAAUCAACCCCAGGCACUGGGAUAGCCCGAGGAAACUCGGAUUAAUACCGGAUGGCCCAGCAGUCUUUCGAGACGGCUGGAAAAGGUAGCUUCGGCCUCCGGCCUGGGACGAGCCCGCGGCGGAUUAGCUUGUUGGUGGGGUAACGGCCUACCAAGGCGACGAUCCGUAGCUGGUCUGAGAGGACGAUCAGCCACACUGGGACUGAGACACGGCCCAGACUCCUACGGGAGGCAGCAGUGGGGAAUCUUGCACAAUGGGCGAAAGCCUGAUGCAGCGACGCCGCGUGAGGGAAGAAGGCUUUCGGGUUGUAAACCUCUUUCAGGAGGGACGAAGCUACUCGGGUUAGUAGCCCAGAGGGUGACGGUACCUCCAGAAGAAGCCCCGGCUAACUACGUGCCAGCAGCCGCGGUAAUACGUAGGGGGCAAGCGUUGUCCGGAUUUAUUGGGCGUAAAGAGCGUGUAGGCGGCCAGGGAGGUCCGUUGUGAAAACUCGAGGCUCAACCUCGAGACGCCGAUGGAAACCCCCUGGCUAGAGUCCGGAAGAGGAGAGUGGAAUUCCUGGUGUAGCGGUGAAAUGCGCAGAUAUCAGGAAGAACACCCGUGGCUAAGGCGGCUCUCUAGUACGGUACUGACGCUGAGACGCGAAAGCGUGGGGAGCGAACAGGAUUAGAUACCCUGGUAGUCCACGCCGUAAACGAUGGGUGCUAGGUGUGGGGGGGUGUCGACUCCCUCCGUGCCGAAGCUAACGCAUUAAGCACCCCGCCUGGGGAGUACGGCCGCAAGGCUAAAACUC
rnacentral:rRNA from 1 species